AUAUACACGGCAGUGAGGCGCGGGGUGCUAAGGUCACGCGCCGAGAGGGAAAGAACCCAGACCAUCAGCUAAGGUCCCCAAGUUACAGUUAAGUUGAACUAACGAGGUCCGAUUGCAUAGACAGCUAGGAUGUUGGCUUGGAAGCAGCCAUUCAUUUAAAGAGUGCGUAACAGCUCACUAGUCGAGCGAUCGGGCAUGGAUAAUAAACGGGCAUUAAACUGUACACCGAAGCUAUGGGUAAUAUUAAUAUUACGGUAGGGGAGCAUUCCAGCGGCAGCGAAGUUAUGACGUAAGUUGUGGUGGAGCUUCUGGAAAAGCAAAUG
rnacentral:rRNA from 1 species